AUUCUGGCAACGACUACAAAUAUACCGUUGCAAAUCUUGUUGCAAAAAAUAAAAUUUUCGUUCCCCUCCAACAACCAUUAGCGCGGGCAAUGAAAAUUUCGGGGUAAAAAUUUAAAACUAAGAUUUGCAACGAAAGUAGUCGUAUCAAAUAAAAAAAUUAAUGUAUAGCCACAACAGUAGUUGUUGCGAAAAAUUAAGUCUUGAGUAUUGUAACAACUAUAGUUUGUGGCAAAAAAGAUCAAUAUGUUUAACAACAAUAAUAAUCAUUGCCAACAAUAUAUCAAAAAUAAAAAAAAUAAAACAAAUAGCCAAAUUAAACAAAAGACAUACAACUAAUUCCCAUCCUUUUUUUAUUUCAUUUUGUUCUUAUUCUAAGAACAAAAAAACCCCAGACCACUUUCCCACUCAAGAACCUUACACAAUUUCAUUUUCUUUCCUUCAUUGUUCUUCGGCGGCGGCUACAGUGAACGACUUCACCAGCGACACAUCCUUCCUCAGGCGACACUACUUGGCCUUUGCAUGUACAUCCAAACAUUAAAAGCAUACGAUCAAAAUAGAGCACAUCCUAAAGGUUCUAUUGCCGAAGGUUAUCUUGCAGAUGAGUGCUUAACAUUCUGCUCAAGAUAUAUGAGUGACAUUGAUACUAAGUUCAAUCGAAAAUCAAGAAAUGAUGAUGAUGGGGAUUAGGUUGUUGAAGGUACCAGGACUUCAAAUCUUGAGAUAUUUAGACCACUUGGUCGUUGUAUUGGACAGGGUGUUCCUGUACAUCUCAGUUUUGAGGAGUGUGAUCAAAUUCAUUCUUAUAUUCUCCAUAAUUGUGAUGAGCUUAUUGAGAGGCACAAGCUGGAGUUGGAAAAGGAGUGCACAAGAAAUAUAGAACAAGGCAUAAAACAAAAUUUUCCAAAUGGAUUUUUUAGCAUGUAUGAAACUGAUAAUAUGAUAGGUUUAGAAAAUGCAACUCAAGGUACAAGUAAGAGAAGGGGAAGAGGAAACAGGGGGAAAUAUAAAAGUUAUGUUGUUGACAUGAAAAUCAAGGGAAAAGGCUCUAAACUUUCAGUUUACAUCCCUGAUGAAAUUGAUCGUGCAACUGGAGAAAAUGCGAGACACCUAGUGAAUGAGUGUGGUCAUGUGGUCAGAACUAAGGCCCAAUUGGAUGUUCGAAAUUGGUAGGAAGCUUUUUCAGUUGCUGUUGAAAGUAUGUGGAAAGAAAUACAGGACAAGUUUGAAAUUGAAUCUAGCCGGACUUUGAAGAUGUACGGUUUCGUUGUCGACACCAUGCAACGAUUAUAUAGGUUGUGAAAAUGUCGGCUACAUUACUACUACAAGAGUCCCAAAUGUGGAAAAGAUGAUGCUGAGCGUAUGAAGAAUCCUCCCCCUGAUGUACCCUUAGAGCAAUGGAAAUCUUGUGUAAAGCAUUUUGGAUCACCUGAAUUUAAGUUUGUAAGUGAAAGGAACUCUAAGAAUCGACUGUCUACCAAUACAUGUAUUCAUACAACUGGUAAUUGGGCUUUUGUGGAAGUAGAAGAUGUACUGACGAAAGAGAAUGGAAAUGUAAAGCCUUCUGCAGAUGUAAUAUAGCUUAUUGAACACACACACUAUAAUGGGAAAGGCGAGCUAUAAUGGGCAAAUGGGAUACGCUCAAAAGAAGUACAUGAUAAAUUAAAAGAUGUUGUUUCUAAGGUAGGGGAUUCAAUGACUCAAGAGGAGAUAUUGAUUCAAGUUUUAGGUUCAAGGUCUGGUCACUUUCGUGGAAAAGGUUCUGCUAUCCGGGCUUAUUGUAAAAACAAACAACUAGAGCAAAACAAACUUGUAUCUGAACAACAAGAAAAAAUUCAAGAACAAGAAAAAAAGAUUAAAGAGCUAGAAUAAAUCCAGCAAAAGCAACAACAAGAACUAGAGGAGUACAAAAAACAACAAGAAGAGCAAAUAGAGGCUUUUAAAAAGGACUUAUUGUAGCAGCUUGCAAAUAGAGGACUCUAGUUAAUUUUAACAACAAGGUGCCAUGGUCAUUCAUUUUGGAGGUUUGAUGAAAGGAUUUUUUUGCCAAGGAUUGUGCUUUCCUUUUAAUGACUGAAGGUCUCUUUUAUGUUUAUUAAGCACAUGAAAAUGUAAUUUUUUGGUGCUAAAAAAGAUAGGAGAAUGUUAGAAAGUAUUCGACAUUAUAUAUGUAGUAUAAUGUCAUUAUUUAUAUUAAGAACAUUAAAGGAUCCUUAGUUAGUUUGUGGAUUAAUACCAAAAUAUAUCAUGUAUUUGACAGGUCUAAUUACAAUUAUUACCA